UAGAAAGGCACUUUGGAGAAAGGACAUUAUCCUCUCCCUUCUCCUGGAGAUGGAGUUCAUUGGAGGAAAUGCUCAAGUCAGUUGACUUGCCCAAGCAAGAGCCCAGUGGAGCAAGGCAGUCUCGAGACUCCUGCUCCAUGGACAAUUGUUAUGUUACAGAAGACUCAGGGAGAAUAUGAGUUCGGUCUUUCUCCACUAUCCAUCCUAAAGGCAGGCUCCAGGCUGCAGCUGGCAAAGCCUCCCCCACCUUGGUCCUUUGGGCUCUAUGCUUUGGCCACGUACAGGCUCCGAAACUAGCCAGCCAGACCUAAGUGACUUGCCUGAGGUCACCGAAGAAGGCAGUGGCGGAGAGAAUUUCACCAUGGUCCUGUGGCCGCUUACCUAGUUUGGUUCACGUGGUAAGUUCUGACUAAAACUAGAAUGAAAUACACAGCAAGAGAUGCAAACACCAGCCCCAGGACACCAUUCUGGGGCUAUCAUGCAGGAAGACUUAAAACCACAUUUGUAAGAUAACACACCCAAUAUAUCUACGGUUUUUCACCAGCCUGAGAAAUGCUUCUCCCUGCUCCGGUCUCCUAACUCCAGCCUAAUGAAUAAAAGGG